AGACGUGACUGAUUGCCUGUUGAGUUCAAUUAUUCCUCCAACGCCUGAAGGAUUCUGAAGAACCCUAACAUUUGCAGGAAGUGACCUUGCUCCCACUCCAUCAUGCAACAGCUGUCAGAGAUGUUUCUGUGGCCCACUCUGUCAGACAAGAAGACGAUUUAUCAGAGGAAGUUCUGCAUUACCCAAGGCUGUGCUCAGCCUUCUCU
rnacentral:lncRNA from 1 species